UGGGGAAUAUUGGACAAUGGGCGCAAGCCUGAUCCAGCAAUGCCGCGUGUGUGAAGAAGGCCUUCGGGUUGUAAAGCACUUUUAUCAGGAGCGAAACGCUGUCGGCUAAUACCCGGCGGAACUGACGGUACCUGAGGAAUAAGCACCGGCUAACUUCGUGCCAGCAGCCGCGGUAAUACGAAGGGUGCAAGCGUUAAUCGGAAUUACUGGGCGUAAAGCGUGCGUAGGCGGUUUCUUAAGUCUGCUGUGAAAUCCCCGGGCUCAACCUGGGAAUGGCAGUGGAUACUGGGAGGCUAGAGUGUGUCAGAGGGUGGUGGAAUUCCCGGUGUAGCGGUGAAAUGCGUAGAGAUCGGGAGGAACAUCAGUGGCGAAGGCGGCCACCUGGGACAACACUGACGCUGAGGCACGAAAGCGUGGGGAGCAAACAGGAUUAGAUACCCUGGUAGUCCACGCCCUAAACGAUGCGAACUGGAUGUUGGUCUCAACUCGGAGAUCAGCGUCGAAGCUAACGCGUUAAGUUCGCCGCCUGGGGAGUACGGUCGCAAGACUGAAACUUAAAUGAAUUGAC
rnacentral:rRNA from 1 species